rnacentral:rRNA from 1 species
UCCCUUACUCAGAGAUCAACCACCCACUAUGUGGAGUCUUGGUGAUUCAUAGUAACCGAACGGAUCGCAGUUGGCUUCGGCCCGCGAUGGAUCUUUCAAGUUUCUGACCUAUCAGCUUUCGACGGUAGGGUAUUGGCCUACCGUGGCAGUGACGGGUAACGGGGAAUUAGGGUUCGAUUCCGGAGAGGGAGCCUGAGAAACGGCUACCACAUCUAAGGAAGGCAGCAGGCGCGCAAAUUACCCAAUGAAAACAGUUUCGAGGUAGUGACGAGAAAUAACAAUACAGGGCAUUUUUUGCUCUGUAAUUGGAAUGAUGGGAAUGUAAAACCCUUCCAGAGUAACAAUUGGAGGGCAAGUCUGGUGCCAGCAGCCGCGGUAAUUCCAGCUCCAAUAGUGUAUAUUAGAGUUGUUGCAGUUAAAAAGCUCGUAGUUGGAUUUCUGUCGCGGUCAUCCGGCGCUGCCCGUAUGGGUGUGCACCUGGUUUGCCCGCGGCUUUCUUCCGGUAGCCCUCCGCGCUUAACUGCGUGUGUGGGUGUUCCGGAACUUUUACUUUGAGAAAAAUAGAGUGUUUCAAGCAGGCUUGUCGCCCUGAAUACUUUAGCAUGGAAUAAUAAGAUAGGACCUUGGUUCUAUUUUGUUGGUUUCUAGGACCAAGGUAAUGAUUAAUAGGGACAGUUGGGGGCAUUCGUAUUUAACUGUCAGAGGUGAAAUUCUUAGAUUUGUUAAAGACGAACUACUGCGAAAGCAUUUGCCAAGGAUGUUUUCAUUAAUCAAGAACGACAGUAGGGGUGGAAAAAAAAAAAAAAGUAAUAA